rnacentral:lncRNA from 1 species
UUAAUUCUAAUAGAAUAUUAACAAUGCUAAACAAGCUUUAAUAAAAUCUGGAGAAACCUCAAAGGAAUUCCAAAGAAACAAUAAGAAAUCUUAAAAAAUUAUUAGAAUGAUUAUAAAUAUAUCUCAAAUAUAUCUUAAUUCAAUCUUAAUUUAAACUUAGUUGAAAUCUUACUUCAGUCAAACUUUAGGCCAAAAACUAACUAAAUCUUAAAUCCUAAAUAAACUCAAAUAAAAUCCUAAAUCCUAAAUCAAAUCCUGAUCAAAUCCUAAACAAAUCUUAAAUCCUAACCAAAUCCUAAAUCCUAAAUCAAAUCCUAAUCCUAAAUCAAAUCCUAAUGAAAUCCUAAACCCUAAAUCAAAUCCCAAACCUAAAUCAAAUCCUAACCAAAUUCUAAAUCCUAACCCUAAAUCAAAUCCUAAUCAAAUCUUAAUCCUAAUCUUAAAUCUUAAACCAAACCUUAACCAAAUCCUAAUCCUAAAUCAAAUCCUAAUCAAAUCUUAACCCUAAUCCUAAAUCCUAAACCAA